AAAAAAGCAUACAGGGGAUGCCUAGGUAACAAGAGCCGAUGAAAGACGUGAGAAGCUGCGAUAAGCUCGGGGGAGCUGCUAAUAAGCCUUGAUCCCGAGAUUUCUGAAUGGGGCAACCUAAACUCUUUGUAGUUUUUAAGGGAACCAAGUGAACUGAAUCAUCUAAGUAGCUUGUGGAAGAGAAAAUAAUAAUGAUUUCCGUAGUAGUGGUGAGCGAACUGGAAAGAGCCUAAAUCUUUUUCUGUUUAUACGUGCGACAGCAUAUGUAGAAAAAGUGGUAGUGGGGGUUUCGGGAGAUUCUGUCGGGUCUCAAGCUUUGUUUUGAAUGUUAACUGAACAGUAUGGAAAGGCUGAUCAUAGAGGGUGAUAAUCCUGUAGGUGAAAGUGUUCAAAACAUGCUGAAAAUUCCCCGAGUAGCAUGAGACCAGUGUAAUCUUGUGUGAAUCUGCGUGUACCAAUCACGUAAGGCUAAAUACUCUUGUUGACCGAUAGUGAAGUAGUACCGUGAGGGAAAGGUGAAAAGAACUCCGAGCAGGAGAGUGAAAUAGAUACUGAAACUGUAUGCUUACAAGCCGUCAACGCUCCCUUGUGGAGUUAUGGCGUGCCUAUUGGAGUAGGAGCCUGCGAGUUAUUUUCAGUGGCGAGGUUAAGUUUACGGAGCCGUAGGGAAACCGAGUCUGAAUAGGGCUAUUUAGUCGCUGGAAAUAGACACGAAACCUGGCGAUCUACGCCUGCCCAGGUUGAAGCUGCGGUAACACGUAGUAGAGGACCGAACCCACUGGUGUUGCAAUACCAGGGGAUGAGGUAGGUGUAGGGGCAAAAAGCUAAUCGUGCCAGGAGAUAGCUUGUUCUUUCCGAAAUGCAUUUAAGUGCAGCCUCUAAUGUUUGUCCAUGGGGGUAGAGCUCUGAUUUUCAAAGGGAGUGUAACAGCUUACCGAUGAUUGUCAAACUGCGAAUACCGUGGAUUUAUAGUUAGGGAGUGAGACAUAUGGUGAGAAAUUGUGUGUCGAGAGGGAAACAACCCAGACCAUCAGUUAAGGUCCCUAAGUGUUCUCUAAGUGUGUAAGGUGGUGAAUGACCAAAGACAGCCAGGAGGUUGGCUUAGAAGCAGCCAUCCUUUAAAGAGUGCGUAGCAGCACACUGGUCAAGGUUGUUUGCGCCGAAGAUGUAACGGGGCUAAGAGAAUCACCGAAACUAUGGAACGUUUUUAACGUUGGUAGGAAAGCGUAUCGUAAGUCUGUGAAGAUCUGUUGUGAGACAGGUUGGAGAUAUCGAUAGUGAGGAUGCAGGCAUGAGUAGCGUAAAAAUGGGUGAGAAUCCUAUUCGUCGGAAGCCUAAGGGUUCCAGGGCAAGGUUCGUCCUCUCUGGGUUAGUCGGGACCUAAUCUGAAGCUGAAAAGUGUAAGAGAAUGGAAAACAGGUUGAUAUUCCUGUACUGCUUAGUAUUCGUUUGAGAGAUGGAGGGACACAGUAAGGUAGUUUUGCCAGCGGUUGGAAGUGCUGGUACAAGGGUGUAGUCUGUUUCAGUUAGCAAAUCUGCUGAAACUAUAGAUGAGGUCUGAUGUGGUGUCUUUCGCUUCGCGCGGAAGAUAGAAGAAAAUGAUCCUACACUGGCAAGAAAAGCUUCUAAUCGAGAAUACUAGGUACUCGUACCGCAAACCGACACAGGUAGGCAGGGUGAGAAACCUAAGACGUGCAAGAUAACUUUCGUUAAGGAACUCGGCAAAUUUGCCCCGUAACUUCGGGAGAAGGGGUGCCCGCCCUAUUUUAAAUGGAUAUACUCCAUUUGGGAGAAGUGGGUCUCAGCAAAGAAAUCCGGGCAACUGUUUAACAAAAACACAGGUCUCUGCUAAACCGCAAGGUGAUGUAUAGGGGCUGAUGCCUGCCCAGUGCUGUAAGGUUAAGGGGAGGGCUUAACGGUCUGAACUGAAGCCCCAGUGAACGGCGGCCGUAACUCUAACGGUCCUAAGGUAGCGAAAUUCCUUGUCGGGUAAAUUCCGACCCGCAUGAAAGGCUUAAUGACCUGGAUACUGUCUUGACGAAAGACUUGGCGAAAUUGUAAUGUGGGUGAAAAUACCCACUAGCCGCAGUAGGACGAUAAGACCCCGUGGAGCUUUACUGUAGCUUGGCAUUGCAGUUGGGUUAUUUGUAUAUAGGAUAGUUGGGAGGCUUUGAAGUGUGGGCGUCAGCUUGCAUGGAGUCAACCUUGGAAUACCAACUACAAAUAAUUUGGCUGCUAACCUCAUUAGGGACAGUGUUAGGUGGGCAGUUUGGCUGGGGUGGCCGCCUCCUAAAAGGUAACGGAGGCGCCCUUAAGGUUCACUCAGGAUGGUUGGAAAUCAUCUGUAGAGCGUAAAAGUAUAAGUGAGCUUGAUUGUGAGAGAGACAACUCGAACAAGGUCGAAAGACGGGUUUAGUGACCCGGUGGUUCUGCAUGGAAAGGCCAUCGAUCAACGGAUAAAAGUUACCCCGGGGAUAACAGGCUUAUUCUCCCCGAGCGUCCGCAGCGACGGGAGAGUUUGGCACCUCGAUGUCGGCUCAUCGCAUCCUGGAGCUG
rnacentral:rRNA from 1 species